rnacentral:rRNA from 1 species
AGAUUGAACGCUGGCGGCAGGCCUAACACAUGCAAGUCGAGCGGUAGAGAGGUGCUUGCAUCUCUUGAGAGCGGCGGACGGGUGAGUAAUGCCUAGGAAUCUGCCUAGUGGUGGGGGAUAACGUUCGGAAACGGACGCUAAUACCGCAUACGUCCUACGGGAGAAAGCGGGGGACCUUCGGGCCUCGCGCCAUUAGAUGAGCCUAGGUCGGAUUAGCUAGUUGGUGAGGUAAUGGCUCACCAAGGCGACGAUCCGUAACUGGUCUGAGAGGAUGAUCAGUCACACUGGAACUGAGACACGGUCCAGACUCCUACGGGAGGCAGCAGUGGGGAAUAUUGGACAAUGGGCGAAAGCCUGAUCCAGCCAUGCCGCGUGUGUGAAGAAGGUCUUCGGAUUGUAAAGCAACUUUAAGUUGGGAAGGAAGGGUUAGUAACCUAAUACGUUGCAACUUUGACGUUACCGACAGAAUAAGCACCGGCUAACUUCGUGCCAGCAGCCGUA